ensembl:snRNA U6 U6 spliceosomal RNA
GUGUUUGCUUUGGCAGCACAAAAAACUAAAAAUUGAAGUGAUACAGAAAAGAUUAGCAUGGCCCCUGUGUAAAGAUGAUACUCAAAUUUGUGAACCAUGCCAUUUAAAA